GACACGAUGGCCGAGCGGUCUAAGGCGGUAGAUUUAAGUACUUGUUGACUCUUAAAUCUCUACUGGGGCAACCCGCGUGAGUUCGAACCUCACUCGUGUCA